AGUGAACGCUGGCGGUAGGCCUAACACAUGCAAGUCGAACGGCAGCACAGUAAGAGCUUGCUCUUACGGGUGGCGAGUGGCGGACGGGUGAGGAAUACAUCGGAAUCUACUUUUUCGUGGGGGAUAACGUAGGGAAACUUACGCUAAUACCGCAUACGACCUACGGGUGAAAGCAGGGGAUCUUCGGACCUUGCGCGAUUGAAUGAGCCGAUGUCGGAUUAGCUAGUUGGCGGGGUAAAGGCCCACCAAGGCGACGAUCCGUAGCUGGUCUGAGAGGAUGAUCAGCCACACUGGAACUGAGACACGGUCCAGACUCCUACGGGAGGCAGCAGUGGGGAAUAUUGGACAGUGGGCGCAAGCCUGAUCCAGCCAUACCGCGUGGGUGAAGAAGGCCUUCGGGUUGUAAAGCCCUUUUGUUGGAAAGAAAAGCAGCAGGUUAAUACCCCGCUGUUCUGACGGUACCCAAAGAAUAAGCACCGGCUAACUUCGUG
rnacentral:rRNA from 1 species